AACGAACGCUGGCGGCAGGCCUAACACAUGCAAGUCGAACGCCGUAGCAAUACGGGAGUGGCAGACGGGUGAGUAACACGUGGGAACGUACCCUUCGGUUCGGAAUAACUCAGGGAAACUUGAGCUAAUACCGGAUACGUCCGAGAGGAGAAAGAUUUAUCACCGAGGGAUCGGCCCGCGUCUGAUUAGGCUUGUUGGUGAGGUAACGGCUCACCAAGGCGACGAUCAGUAGCUGGUCGAGAGGAUGAUCAGCCACAUUGGGACUGAGACACGGCCCAAACUCCUACGGGAGGCAGCAGUGGGGAAUAUUGGACAAUGGGCGCAAGCCUGAUCCAGCCAUGCCG
rnacentral:rRNA from 1 species